rnacentral:rRNA from 1 species
AGCGAACGCUGGCGGCAGGCUUAACACAUGCAAGUCGAGCGGACCUUUCGGGGUCAGCGGCGGACGGGUGAGUAACGCGUGGGAACGUGCCUUCCGGUUCGGAAUAACCCUGGGAAACUAGGGCUAAUACCGGAUACGCCCUUAUGGGGAAAGGUUUACUGCCGGAAGAUCGGCCCGCGUCUGAUUAGCUAGUUGGUGGGGUAACGGCCUACCAAGGCGACGAUCAGUAGCUGGUCUGAGAGGAUGAUCAGCCACACUGGGACUGAGACACGGCCCAGACUCCUACGGGAGGCAGCAGUGGGGAAUAUUGGACAAUGGGCGCAAGCCUGAUCCAGCCAUGCCGCGUGAGUAAUGAAGGCCUUAGGGUUGUAAAGCUCUUUUAUCCGGGACGAUAAUGACGGUACCGGAGGAAUAAGCCCCGGCUAACUUCGUG